GAUGAACGCUGGCGGCGUGCUUAACACAUGCAAGUCGAACGAUGAAGCUCAGCUUUCUGGGUGGAUUAGUGGCGAACGGGUGAGUAACACGUGAGUAACCUGUCCUUAACUCUGGGAUAAGCCUGGGAAACUAGGUCUAAUACCGCAUAGGAGCGCCUACCGCAUGGUGGGUGUUGGAAAAAUUUAUCGGUUUUGGAUGGACUCGCGGCCUAUCAGCUUGUUGGUGGGGUAAUGGCUCACCAAGGCGACGACGGGUAGCCGGCCUGAGAGGGUGACCGGCCACACUGGGACUGAGACACGGCCGAGACUCCUACGGGAGGCAGCAGUGGGGAAUAUUGCAAAAGGGGCGAAAGCCUGAUGCAGCGACGCCGCGUGAGGGAUGACGGCCUUCGGGUUGUAAACCUCUUUCAGUAGGGAAGAAGCGAAAGUGACGGUACCUGCAGAAGAAGCACCGGCUAACUACGUG
rnacentral:rRNA from 1 species